CUCGUUACCUCCGAUCGGAUCGUCGUGAUUGCGUUUGGUGGAGCGGCGCCUCUCCGCAGUUGUACUCCCGAUACAAAGCAAAAGGUCAAUCAGUGCUCUCAAGCUUCUAAAGCAACGAAGUCAGAAAGCAGGAGGGGAACACAUCUUCACCAGCCAAACAAGAUGCCCUGUUACUCACACAACUUUGUCAUGACAAUCUCUUCCUAAGAAGUUACUGGAGUAGAGUUCUCCCAGGCAAUUGAGCUCUCCCAGAGGAAGAGGAGGAGACAAGUCGAGAGCCAAGGUAUUUUACAAGUCUCAUUUCAUCUGACAGCCCUUUCAGCGGCCAUUUGCACAGAUUCUCCUCAAAGCUCCCGCCCCACAUCGUCGUCCUAAGGCCCUGGAGCUCCUGGACAAAGCGCGGCCUCCAGGUCGUCACUGCCUGCACCUCGGGGAUCCCCCUCCAGAAAAGAACGGAGAACCACCUAGGUCCCACCUGCUUGGUUGGUCAUUAGUUCCGCGGAGGCGCUUAAAGAGAAAUCAGUAACAAUAGCAAUAAUAAUAACAACAUAUUUGUGU
rnacentral:lncRNA from 1 species